AUGGACAUGCCAAAGGAUGAAAGUGAGAAUGGGAAUAAUGACAAUGAAGAACAAGCUUCAAAGGUGAUGCUGGUUGGUUCAUAUGUGAGUACACCCAAGCGCAAACAUGCACUCCAAUUGCAAGAUUAUGUGGGCAAGCACCAUGUUCAGAUUCGCCUGGACCUGGGCAGCGUGGGCACAUUCAUUGGCAUGGAUAUGGCUGCAUGGCUCCACUGCAAGAUCCAGUUGUGCCCUCCUGCACAGCUCAUCGUGGAAAAUGGCGCUCAGUUUCUUGUGACACCUAUGCGCCCCAGCUGGAAUGGUCUGUGCAUGGCCACAAAUCCGUAG
rnacentral:rRNA from 1 species